AUAAGAAGGUCCAACCAUAGUUAGCUAAUUCGGAUUUGACAAAAGUUCAUUACGGAUGUAAUUAAUACGAAUAAAAUUUGUAUCCUAAUUUUUAAAUUCAUUAAAAAAUAAGACUUAAAAAAUAAAUUCGUCAAUUAUUCGGAUACGCGAUUUAUAUGAAAAUUAUACGUUCAUCAAUUAAAAAUUUGAGAUAAAAAAUUCAAUUAUUAAAUUAAACUUU
rnacentral:lncRNA from 1 species